rnacentral:rRNA from 1 species
CCAAUAGCGUAUAUUAAAGUUGUUGCAGUUAAAAAGCUCGUAGUUGAAUUUCGGGGUCAAUAGGUUGGUCGUGCCUUUGGUAUGUACUGGUAUCAUUGAUUUCUCCUUUCUGACGAACCAUGAUGUCAUUAAUUUGGUGUUAUGGGGAGUUAGGACUGUUACUUUGAAAAAAUUAGAGUGUUUAAAGCAAGCUUACGCUUGAAUACAUUAGCAUGGAAUAAUGAAAUAGGACGUUCGAACCUAUUUUGUUGGUUUCUAGGAUUGACGUAAUGAUUAAUAGGGAUAGUUGGGGGCAUUAGUAUUCAAUUGUCAGAGGUGAAAUUCUUGGAUUUAUUGAAGACUAACUACUGCGAAAGCAUUUGCCAAGGAUGUUUUCAUUAAUCAAGAACGAAAGUUAGGGGAUCGAAGACGAUCAGAUACCGUCGUAGUCUUAACCAUAAACUAUGCCGACUAGGGAUCGGAUGAUGUUAAUUUUUUAAUGACUCAUUCGGCGCCUUACG